AGCUUUGCGCAGUGGCAGUAUGUAGCCAAUGAGGUUUAUCCGAGGCGCGAUUAUUGCUAAUUAAAAUGUGAAUAGAAGAGCAUUUAUUUUUUUCAUGAGGGUAAGAAAGGAACAUAGGUAAGUGAAAGCAGUUUCUAUUG
ensembl:snRNA U4 U4 spliceosomal RNA